rnacentral:tRNA from 1 species
GCGGGUGUAGUGUAAUGGCAGCACGCAGGCCUUCAGAGCCUGAACGGGGCGCCACCCCGGCCGUGCGGGUUCGAAUCCCGUCGCCCGCUCCA